GGGGCUGGGGCUCAGUGGUAGAGUGCUUGCCUGGCAUGUGAGAGGUACUGGGUUCGAUCCCCAGUACCA
rnacentral:tRNA from 1 species